rnacentral:rRNA from 1 species
GACGAACGCUGGCGGCGUGCUUAACACAUGCAAGUCGUGCGGUAAGGCCCUUUCGGGGGUACACGAGCGGCGAACGGGUGAGUAACACGUGAGCAGCCUGCCCUUCACUUUGGGAUAACUGCCGGAAACGGUGGCUAAUACCGGAUAUGACUUCCUCACGCAUGUGGGGUGGUGGAAAGCCUUCGGGUGGUGGGGGAUGGGCUCGCGGUCUAUCAGCUUGUUGGUGGGGUGAUGGCCUACCAAGGCUUCGACGGGUAGCCGGCCUGAGAGGGUGACCGGCCACCCUGGGACUGAGACACGGCCCAGACUCCUACGGGAGGCAGCAGUGGGGAAUAUUGGACAAUGGGCGAACGCCUGAUCCAGCAACGCCGCGUGAGGGAUGACGGCCUUCGGGUUGUAAACCUCUUUCGCCUGCGACGAAGCGAGAGUGACGGUAGCAGGUAAAGAAGCACCGGCCAACUACGUG